rnacentral:rRNA from 1 species
GAGGGGGCAGCUACCAUGCAGUCGACGAUGAAGCCCAGCUUGCUGGGUGGAUUAGUGGCGAACGGGUGAGUAACACGUGGGUGAUCUGCCCUGCACUCUGGGAUAAGCCUGGGAAACUGGGUCUAAUACCGGAUAUGACCUCGGGAUGCAUGUCCUGGGGUGGAAAGUUUUUCGGUGCAGGAUGAGCCCGCGGCCUAUCAGCUUGUUGGUGGGGUAAUGGCCUACCAAGGCGACGACGGGUAGCCGGCCUGAGAGGGCGACCGGCCACACUGGGACUGAGACACGGCCCAGACUCCUACGGGAGGCAGCAGUGGGGAAUAUUGCACAAUGGGCGCAAGCCUGAUGCAGCGACGCCGCGUGAGGGAUGACGGCCUUCGGGUUGUAAACCUCUUUCACCCAUGACGAAGCGCAAGUGACGGUAGUGGGAGAAGAAGCACCGGCCAACUACGUGCCAGCAGCCGCGGUAAUACGUAGGGUGCGAGCGUUGUCCGGAAUUACUGGGCGUAAAGAGCUCGUAGGCGGUUUGUCGCGUCGUCUGUGAAAUCCCGCAGCUCAACUGCG